AAGAAAGUGACUGCUGCCCCGCACAGGGGCGAAGCUAAUAGACCAAUAACAAUCAAGUUUCACAGAAGCCGAAGCGCAUCAGAUGGUUCAACAGACCCCAACCCCAA
rnacentral:sRNA from 1 species